AUUUAUACGUAUUUUUUAUAUGCAAAUGAGUCCACAUGGGUUUGGUUUGGUUUGUUUUGACUUUGAAAAAAUAUUCCAUACUUGGUGCCCAAGCCAAUACUUCAUGAGUUGGUGUACAAAAUCAAUAUUUUAUUUAUUAUGAGUUGAGGAUGAUGAUGAUAAUUAAUUGAUUCGUUUGUUGUGCAUAAUCGUUAAAUUGUCUUGACCAAAUUACUUUAAAUAUAUUUGAGUCCUCUUUAUUUUCCACUCACCACUCGAUAGCCUUUUCUAUCGCAUGUGCUUUGAGCUUGCUAAGUGGCACUAUUUUCCCCCUUAAUAUCUCAUUUGGUGCAGGCUCAAAAAUGAGUAUUUGAGCGCUCAAAACCAUUAUAGAAAACCUUCUACAAUCUUUAUCGACGAGUGAAUUCCCAAAAUAGUUACUGAACAUUGCAAAAGACUUUCAAGGGAUCACUAAACAUUAAAAAUCACCUAAAUGGUCACUGAACUUUGCAAAAGGUUUUACAGAAGUCACUGAAUUUUAAAAAUCACCUAAAUGGUCACUGAACUUUGCAAAAAAUUUCCCAGAAGUCACUGAACUUUCCAACCCCUAAACCACCUUAGAACCACCACUUAUGGACCACCAAAAUCCACUCUCCUGCCACCUUGGUCCCCGGACCAACAUACCACCGUGGCCUCUUUGCAACCCCCAAGUUCCGACCAUAACGCCAACCGAUUUGGCCAGAAAUUCAAGCCAAAAUGGACUAACCAAACACAAAAAAAUGGCCGGAAGUGAACAAGUCAUCAAUUUUGGACCACCAAAACUCCACUCUCCGGCCAUUUUGGCCGCCGGACCGACAUUCCACCUUAAAGCCCUCGUUUCCCUCUUCACAACACACCCAAGUUCUGGUCAUAAUACCAACUGAUUUGGUCGAAAAUUCAAGCCAAAAUGGGUUGACCAAGCAUGAAAAAUGGCCUGAAUCUUCAUUUUUUGUUGUUCCAAACUACCCAUUUUGGCUUGGAUUUCUGGCCACAUCGGUUAGUGUUAUGACUAGAACUUGUAUGGGUUGCGAAGAGGGAAACGAGGGCUUCAAGAUGGUAUGUCGGUCCGGCGGCCAAGGUGGCCAGAGGGUGGAUUUUGAUGGUCUAUAAAUGGUGGCUCUAAGGUGGUUAAGGGGUUGGAAAGUUCAGUGACUUAUGGGAAAUAUUUUGCAAAGUGCAGUGAUCAUUUAGGUAAUUUUUAAAGUUCAGUGACUUUUGAAAAACUUUUGCAAAGUUUAGUGACCAUUGGGCAAUUCACUCUGAGAAGUUUUUAUAUAGGCUAACAUUGUGGCACAAGUUUUAUUACAUAUUGAUGGUUUAAAUUACUUUGGAAUUUUUCGGAAUGUAGAUGGGAGCGUUAUCUCUUCACUUUUAUUUUUAUAUUUAUAAAUUUACAUUUCAUUUAAAAAUUUAACAAGUAAAUGGAAAAAUAUCAAGUAAAUGAGGAUACUUUAAUUUCGACCCUCGCCUCUCAUUUGAAUAACUAACUUAUUUUAUUAAUUUUAACCAAUCAAAAUAGCUUUAUAUAUUGAACGAACUUCGAAUUUUACUUAUAAUUCAUCCUUUAGGCUUAGCAAAUAAUCUUCUUUUGGACUUUUGCACUCCAG
rnacentral:lncRNA from 1 species